UACGGAGUGCGCAAGCGUUACUCGGAAUCACUGGGCAUAAAGCGCGCGUAGGCGGGUAUUCAAGUCGGUUGUGAAAUCCCCCAGCUCAACUGGGGAACUGCAUCCGAUACUGUCUGUCUUGAGGACGAGAGGGGAGAGUGGAACUUCUGGUGGAGCGGUGAAAUGCGUAGAUAUCAGAAGGAACACCAAUAGCGAAGGCAGCUCGCUGGGACGUUACUGACACUGAGGCGCGAAAGCGUGGGGAGCGAACAGG
rnacentral:rRNA from 1 species